CAGUCGAACGAGACCUUCGGGUCUAGUGGCGCACGGGUGCGUAACGCGUGGGAAUCUGCCCUUGGGUUCGGAAUAACAGUGAGAAAUUACCGCUAAUACCGAAUGAUGACGUAAGUCCAAAGAUUUAUCGCCCAAGGAUGAGCCCGCGUAGGAUUAGCUAGUUGGUGAGGUAAAAGCUCACCAAGGCGACGAUCCUUAGCUGGUCUGAGAGAAUGAUCAGCCACACUGGGACUGAGACACGGCCCAGACUCCUACGGGAGGCAGCAGUGGGGAAUAUUGGACAAUGGGCGAAAGCCUGAUCCAGCAAUGCCGCGUGAGUGAUGAAGGCCUUAGGGUUGUAAAGCUCUUUUACCCGGGAUGAUAAUGACAGUACCGGGAGAAUAAGCUCCGGCUAACUCCGUGCCAGCAGCCGCG
rnacentral:rRNA from 1 species